AUUGAACGCUGGCGGCAUGCCUUACACAUGCAAGUCGAACGGAUCAGAAGGGCUUGCUCUUCUGGUUAGUGGCGAACGGGUGAGUAAUGCAUCGGAACGUACCCAGUCGUGGGGGAUAACGUAGCGAAAGUUACGCUAAUACCGCAUACGAUCUGAGGAUGAAAGCGGGGGACCUUCGGGCCUCGCGCGAUUGGAGCGGCCGAUGUCGGAUUAGCUAGUUGGUGAGGUAAAGGCUCACCAAGGCGACGAUCCGUAGCUGGUCUGAGAGGACGGCCAGCCACACUGGGACUGAGACACGGCCCAGACUCCUACGGGAGGCAGCAGUGGGGAAUUUUGGACAAUGGGCGAAAGCCUGAUCCAGCCAUGCCGCGUGAGUGAAGAAGGCCUUCGGGUUGUAAAGCUCUUUCAGACGGAAAGAAAUCUUCUGGGUGAAUAUCCCGGGAGGAUGACGGUACCGUAAGAAGAAGCACCGGCUAACUACGUGCCAGCCGCCGCUGUAA
rnacentral:rRNA from 1 species